rnacentral:rRNA from 1 species
GAUGAGGACAUCUGAGCUGGACUAAAGGUUUACCGCUGAGGGAUGGGGAUGCGUCUGAUUAGGUAGUCGGCGGGGUAACGGCCCACCGAGCCGUCGAUCAGUAGGGGUUCUGAGAGGAAGGUCCCCCACACUGGUACUGAGACACGGACCAGACUCCUACGGGAGGCAGCAGUGAGGAAUAUUGGUCAAUGGGCGAGAGCCUGAACCAGCCAAGUAGCGUGCAGGAAGACGGCCCUACGGGUUGUAAACUGCUUUUUAUGCGGGGAUAAAGUGCCGUACGCGUACGGUAUUGCAGGUACCGCAUGAAUAAGGACCGGCUAAUUCCGUGCC